rnacentral:misc_RNA from 1 species
AUUGAAUUGAAAUCAAAUCAUAAUUAAAUUGAGAUUGAGAGGAUUUUAUGAUCUAGGAUCAGACCCUGUAAUCUAAUUUCAGACUCUUGAUUUCAGAAAUCGAAAUCAAAUUAAAUCGAUCAGCUGGUUUUGUAUACCCUUACCCAGUAACACGAAGGGGCAAAAUUGGCAACUUGAAAUUGGGAGUGGCAGUUCCUUCCUUUCCAUUAUAAAGCCAAAAUGCUUUGAAGAAGUUUGGCAGGUGCUUUUAGAUUCUGAAAAACUGAAAAAAACAUUUUUCAGUAAUAAGAAGGUAAGGUAACGCAUAUCUAACUCGCAAGCAAGUCUUCUACCUUCCUGAACCUCAACCUGUUCUUAGUAAAGAUGGUACUGGAAAGCGCGGACACUUCUUGUUUUUUGUUAGAUUUCGUCCAGAAGUGCGGUGGCUACGCCUUAGUUGAUGGCGGCUUUGCCACUGAACUCGAACGACACGGUGCUGACCUCAACGACCCUCUAUGGAGCGCCAAAUGCCUUAUCAGCUCCCCUCAUCUCGUCCGAAGGGUACACCUCGAUUAUCUUGACGCUGGGGCAAAUAUCAUAUUAACAGCAUCUUAUCAGGCUACUAUUCAGGGUUUUGAGGCCAAAGGGUUAUCCACAGAAGAAGCAGAAUCAUUACUUCGAAGAAGUGUCGAAAUUGCCUGCGAGGCAAGGGAAAUUUAUCAUGACAAUUGUACCAAAGCUUCUUGGGAUUUUGUGGAACGUGGAAAUAUAGCAAGGCGUCCAGUUCUGGUCGCUGCUUCCAUUGGCAGCUACGGGGCUUAUUUAGCUGAUGGCUCAGAGUAUAGUGGCAACUAUGGCGAUGCAGUUUCUCUCCAAACACUGAAGGAUUUUCACAGGAGAAGAUUACAGAUUCUGGCCAAAGCAGGAGCUGACUUGAUUGCAUUUGAGACGAUUCCAAAUAAGCUUGAAGCAAAGGCAUACGCUGAGUUGCUUGAAGAGGAAGGCAUAAAUAUUCCAGCAUGGUUUUCUUUCACUUCCAAGGAUGGAAUUAAUGUGGUUAGUGGUGAUUCUAUCUUGGAAUGUGCCUCUAUUGCAGAUACUUGCAGGCAAGUUGCCGCUGUUGGAAUCAACUGUACCCCUCCUAGAUUUAUCCAUGGACUUAUUCUCUCCAUUUGCAAGGUUACAAGCAAGCCGGUAGUCAUAUAUCCAAAUAGCGGUGAAACUUACAAUGCUGAGCGCAAGGAGUGGGUGAAAUCAAGUGGAGUAUCAGAUGAAGAUUUCGUUUCGUACGUAGGCAAGUGGCGCGAGGCUGGUGCUUCUCUUUUUGGUGGCUGCUGCAGGACUACUCCAAAUACUAUCAGAGCUAUAUCUGGGGUUCUCUCCAACAAAUCUUCACCCUCUUUAAGUGAUAAAAUGGAGAUGUGAAUGAUGUGAAACAGAGACUGAGGAUCCGAAUCUUAUAUCAACAAUGGCCUUGUAGCCCAAUGCCAUCUCUGUUUUUCAUGUCCUUAAGUGGAUGCAACUUAGUCCUAUCCUUUUAUAAAUGAAAUAAACAAAUUUCAAUUUUCUUUUCCAAAGGUUGAGAUGGUGAGAAAUCAAUAAUGUAUAGGAAAAUUUUCUGUUUGAGAUCUGUUAUUGAAAACAGUGGAGACAUCACCGUUAAUUUCAUCAGAGAUGAGAUUAUAAGUACAUUUGUAUAUUCAAACUAAACAAUGAAAUAUAAUGGUGAAACUUCAAUUUGUG